GAUGAACGCUGGCGGCGUGCCUAAUACAUGCAAGUCGAGCGAACAGACGAGGAGCUUGCUCCUCUGACGUUAGCGGCGGCCGGGUGAGUAACACGUGGAUAACCUACCUAUAAGACUGGGAUAACUUCGGGAAACCGGAGCUAAUACCGGAUAAUAUAUUGAACCGCAUGGUUCAAUAGUGAAAGACGGUUUUGCUGUCACUUAUAGAUGGAUCCGCGCCGCAUUAGCUAGUUGGUAAGGUAACGGCUUACCAAGGCAACGAUGCGUAGCCGACCUGAGAGGGUGAUCGGCCACACUGGAACUGAGACACGGUCCAGACUCCUACGGGAGGCAGCAGUAGGGAAUCUUCCGCAAUGGGCGAAAGCCUGACGGAGCAACGCCGCGUGAGUGAUGAAGGUCUUCGGAUCGUAAAACUCUGUUAUUAGGGAAGAACAAAUGUGUAAGUAACUAUGCACGUCUUGACGGUACCUAAUCAGAAAGCCACGGCUAACUACGUG
rnacentral:rRNA from 1 species